rnacentral:rRNA from 1 species
UACGUAGGGGGCAAGCGUUGUCCGGAAUUAUUGGGCGUAAAGCGCGUGUAGGCGGCUCGGUAAGUCUGCUGUGAAAGUCCAGGGCUCAACCCUGGAAUGCCGGUGGAUACUGUCGAGCUAGAGUCCGGAAGAGGCGAGUGGAAUUCCUGGUGUAGCGGUGAAAUGCGCAGAUAUCAGGAGGAACACCAAUGGCGAAGGCGGCUCGCUGGGACGGUACUGACGCUGAGACGCGAAAGCGUGGGGAGCGAACAGG